rnacentral:sRNA from 1 species
AUUGAGAUUAUUAGUGUUUGGAUGGCUUUUCUAAAACGGGUAAAAAUAAUAUAGGCAUAGCCAAAACUUAUUCGGUAACAUUAUCAUAAGAUCAAAAUGUCACAAUGCUAACACAUUCAUUACUUGAGUUUCCAAAAUUUUGUCAUGAGAGACAAAACUCAAAAGGACACACUGAAACAAAUGUCAAAAUGUUAGUCCGGUUUGGACUUGCGGUUUGAAGCUUGAAUCCAGUGAUCCGCAGUAGAUAAAAACGGCUCACCCUGUUGCCUUCUCCUCUAGUGUAGUCCUCUCUUCCAUAAUCGUUCCUUCAGAGGUUUCAUCAUUCACCUUAUCGACAACGAAAAGCUCUGCAUUGCCAUUAGUGUUCUCUUUCACUGUAAUUUUCUCUUCAUGGAUAUUUUCUUCAGAGGCUUCACCAAUCUUCUUAUAGACAAUGACUUCAUUCCGUUUGCAUUCAUUGCUUCGUAGAUCAGGAUAGUUUCUCUGGUUCAGAGAAUGCAACCAAAUGGCCACAGCUCCAUCUUUUUCUUCAGCUGAGCCAAUAUGAGAGUAAACAUGCUUCCAUUUGAACUCUAUGCAAAUAAAACAUUUAUGCUCUCUAUCUUUUUUGCAUAAUCGCAGAUGAUAAUAAUAUACAUAAGUUAUGCUUAAACUUUAUAGAACAUUUUUUAUUUAUUCUAUAAGCAUUUUGUAAGCAAAAAAGAGGAAAAAAACAAAAUUAUAUUCUUUAAAUAUGGCUCUAUUUAGAUUAUUGCCUGCAAAACCAUUCAUUAAAUUCAUGUAAUCGAACAUUUCAACCAUAGUUGUCUUAAUGGAUAGCAAAGCUAACUAAUUUAUUUAAUUAAUCAAACAGAGUUUUUUUUU